rnacentral:rRNA from 1 species
GACGAACGCUGGCGGCGUGCCUAAUACAUGCAAGUAGAACGCACAGUUUAUACCGUAGCUUGCUACACCAUAGACUGUGAGUUGCGAACGGGUGAGUAACGCGUAGGUAACCUGCCUGGUAGCGGGGGAUAACUAUUGGAAACGAUAGCUAAUACCGCAUAAUAUUAAUUAUUGCAUGAUAAUUAAUUGAAAGGUGCAAUUGCACCACUACCAGAUGGACCCGCGUUGUAUUAGCUAGUAGGUGAGGUAACGGCUCACCUAGGCGACGAUACAUAGCCGACCUGAGGGGGUGAUCGGCCACACUGGGACUGAGACACGGCCCAGACUCCUACGGGAGGCAGCAGUAGGGAAUCUUCGGCAAUGGACGAAAGUCUGACCGAGCAACGCCGCGGGAGUGAAGAAGGUUUUCGGAUCGUAAAGCUCUGUUGUAAGAGAAGAACGGGUGUGAGAGUGGAAAGUUCACACUGUGACGGUAUCUUACCAGAAAGGGACGGCUAACUACGUG